rnacentral:rRNA from 1 species
GAGGAAAGCUGGCGGCGUGCCUAAUACAUGCGAGUCGAGCGAACAGACGAGGAGCUUGCUCCUCUGACGUUAGCGGCGGACGGGUGAGUAACACGUGGAUAACCUACCUAUAAGACUGGGAUAACUUCGGGAAACCGGAGCUAAUACCGGAUAAUAUAUUGAACCGCAUGGUUCAAUAGUGAAAGACGGUUUUGCUGUCACUUAUAGAUGGAUCCGCGCCGCAUUAGCUAGUUGGUAAGGUAACGGCUUACCAAGGCAACGAUGCGUAGCCGACCUGAGAGGGUGAUCGGCCACACUGGAACUGAGACACGGUCCAGACUCCUACGGGAGGCAGCAGUAGGGAAUCUUCCGCAAUGGGCGAAAGCCUGACGGAGCAACGCCGCGUGAGUGAUGAAGGUCUUCGGAUCGUAAAACUCUGUUAUUAGGGAAGAACAAAUGUGUAAGUAACUAUGCACGUCUUGACGGUACCUAAUCAGAAAGCCACGGCUAACUACGUG